GGAUUAGAUACCCUGGUAGUCCACGCCGUAAACGAUGUGUGCUAGUUGUCGGGCCCUCAGGGUUCGGUGACGCCGCUAACGCAUUAAGCACACCGCCUGGGGAGUACGGUCGCAAGAUUAAAACUCAAAGGAAUUGACGGGGACCCGCACAAGCGGUGGAGCAUGUUCUUUAAUUCGAAGCAACGCGAAGAACCUUACCUACACUUGACAUCCUGAUCGCGUUUUCCAGAGAUGGAUUACUUCAGUUCGGCUGGAUCAGUGACAGGUGCUGCAUGGCUGUCGUCAGCUCGUGCCG
rnacentral:rRNA from 1 species